rnacentral:rRNA from 1 species
GACGAACGCUGGCGGCGCGCUUAAUACAUGCAAGUCGAGCGAUAACCAUGGCUUCGGCCAUGGGGAGAGCGGCGAACGGGUGAGUAACACGUGAGCGAUCUGCCCUCGACACCGGGAUAGCCCGGGGAAACCCGGAUUAAUACCGGAUGGCCUCUCGAGCCCACGGGCUCGUUAGAAAAGAUGGCUUCGGCUUUCGGUCGAGGAUGGGCCUGCGUCUGAUUAGCUAGGUGGUGGGGUAACGGCCUACCAAGGCGAUGAUCAGUAGCCGGUCUGAGAGGAUGAACGGCCACAUUGGGACUGAGACACGGCCCAAACUCCUACGGGAGGCAGCAGUGGGGAAUAUUCCGCAAUGGACGAAGGUCUGACGGAGCAACGCCGCGUGAGUGAUGAAGGUUUUCGGACUGUAAAACUCUGUUGUUUAGGACGAAAGUGCCUGUUGCAAACAGUUGCAGGUAUUGACGGUACUGAACGAGGAAGCCACGGCUAACUACGUGCCAGCCGCCGCAGUAACAC